rnacentral:misc_RNA from 1 species
GUGAAUCAUCGAAUCUUUGAACGCACAUUGCGCCCGCCAGUAUUCUGGCGGGCAUGCCUGUUCGAGCGUCAUUUCAACCCUCAAGCCCCCCGGGUUUGGUGUUGGGGAUCGGCGAGUCUUCGUGACCAGCCGGCCCCGAAAUCUAGUGGCGGUCUCGCUGCAGCUUCCAUUGCGUAGUAGCUAACACCUCGCAAGCGGAGAGCGGCGCGGCCAUGCCGUUAAACCCCCAACUUCUGAAUGUUGACCUCGGAUCAGGUAGGAAUACCCGCUGAACUUAAGCAUAUCAAUAAGCGGAGGA